AUAUUAGAAAGGAGUUUCUGUAGAUCUCCGUAGAGCUCACAACUUUAGCUUCGGAGCUGCAGUAUGCCUUGGCCAG
rnacentral:tRNA from 1 species